rnacentral:misc_RNA from 1 species
GGAAGUGAGUUGCAGUUGCCAUUCCAGGCUUGCUUGAAGAUAGAGAAAUUUGGAGAUUUGAUUUUGAAAGCAACAGAGCCACAAAUGGUUUUAUUCAAUAUUUACGAUGAUUGGCUGAAGAGCAUCUCAUCAUACACUGCAUUUUCCCGACUCAUUUUGAUUCUUCGUGCACUUCAUGUGAAUAAUGAGAAGGCAAAGAUGCUACUCAANNNNNNNNNNNNCACACCACAUAUGGCCUUCUCUCACUGAUGAUCAAUGGAUGAAGGUUGAGGUUGCUUUAAGAGAUCUCAUACUUUCUGACUAUGCCAAGAAAAACAAUGUGAACACAUCAGCACUGACACAAUCUGAGAUCCGUGAUAUUAUUCUCGGUGCUGAAAUCACUCCUCCUUCUCAGCAAAGGCAACAGAUAGCAGAGAUUGAGAAACAGGCCAAAGAAGCAAGUCAGUUAACAGCAGUCACAACAAAGACAACAAAUGUUCAUGGUGAUGAACUCAUUGUCACCACCACUAGUCCCUAUGAGCAGGCUGCAUUUGGUUCCAAAACAGAUUGGCGUGUCAGGGCAAUAUCAGCUACAAAUCUCUACCUUCGGGUCAAUCACAUAUAUGUGAAUUCAGAAGACAUCAAGGAGACAGGAUAUACCUACAUCAUGCCCAAGAACAUUCUGAAGAAGUUCAUCUGCAUAGCAGAUUUGCGUACUCAAAUUUCUGGGUACCUUUAUGGUAUUAGUCCCCCAGAUAACCCUCA